AGUAUAUUUUAUUUUCAUACAUUGUUAAAUAAAAAUAGUGCCUGGCAAAUGUAGACAUUUAAAUUUAUCAGUAAAUAAUUAUUAUCUGAGGGUUGAGAGACAUUAUUCAUCAGUAACACACCAGUAACUUACCGGUAUACAGUAUGUCAUUUAGUCAGUGACUGUAGAUGACUAAUUAUUUAUUUUAACCAUGUACAAAGCAUUAAGCACUACAUUUUUCUGUGCUUUUGUAAUACAUUCACAAAAGGAAGUAACAUAAAAAUUAGAUGUUUGGAUCAGCUUCUUAGGCAUUCUGUGUGGUUGCAUAACAGCAGCAUCUUAUGUUGACCUGGCUGGGGUUAUAGACACAAUAAAAUUAUAAAUCACAUUUGUGUAAUGGUACUUAUGAUCCCGAUAAAGUGGUGCUAAACAUGACCCUGUAGUGCACCAUGUCAUAACAUGGUCAGCAACAUACUUAAAAUGUUCAAGUUCCAUAAAACCACGCAACCAUAUUGAGUGGAACUAUAACAUAUUUACCCAUUUUGGCCUGAUCAGUAAUUUUAGGCAGAGAUAAGCACACACAAAAUGUUGACUAAACUUAUUUUUGACACUGCAGUGAUUCUGAGUUUUACUUCCUGGGCUGGCUAUUACACAACUCUGGCAAAAGCACAGGGAAACAUUUAAAAACUGCAUGUUUGCAGCACAAUGAUGCAGAUGGAGAGCUUUGUGGAGAGAGAACACUAACUCCCUGAGAGUAUUCGAUCCCCGAGUCAUUUCGUCUCACACAGCACAGACUCUGCAGAGCGCUGGGUGUUCCAGCUCAUGGUAAAAUGUCUGUUUUUUGUAAAGCAAACUAAUGGCACUGCAAAGUGCAAUAUGCAAUAUGCAUGCAGUAACUGCUUGUUCCUCCAUUUCUGUAGUUCUGGUUUGAACUUGGUACUUCCUCAUUAGAUUCAGGAAAAAAAGUAAGUGCAUUGUUAUUGAAGCAGUCCAAAGAUCACUAUUGUUGUCUUUAAUGUCACUGCAAAACAUAAUGUACGGAGAUGCACAUUCUUGUGUUUGGUGGAGGUCCAAGCUCUCAGUACAUGACAGUGGCAGCAGUGGUUCCAGCAGCUGAUGUGCCUCUGAGCUGAGCCCUGUGUUCCCCUGCUCUCUAAGGAGGUCAUCAGUGAACCAGUCCUGAAGCACUCACACUGAAGCAGAGGCCAAGGCACAGAGAGGAAGAGACAGAGAAGCCACGCAGCAGAGAGAGGUCAGAGGAUAAUGGUGGACAGCAGGUGGACUGCAGCCAGACAGACCUUUCAAGACCCUUAAUGCUCCAAGAAAUCUGCGGCUUACUGCUGCAGACUGAUGCUCUACUCACUACUGUAAAUGAGUUACAAACUACUGGCACUAAACUAAACUUUUUCUUUUCACUGCAAAAGCCACAGCGCUCUUAGUUGCUUGACAUGUAUACAUUAUGCAAAAUAAUUUUUCCAUCAACAGAUCUAUUUUAAUCUGCUGUUACAGUUAAAAAUAGACCCUGUAGAAAUACUUGAAAACAAAAAUAAAAUCAGUAACAAUUAUUUU
ensembl:lncRNA